rnacentral:tRNA from 1 species
ACAGAGAUGGCUCAGUGGUUAAGAGCACUGGCUCUUCUUGCAGAAGACCUGGGUUCAAACCCCAGCACCUAUA